UACGGGGGGGGCAAGCGUUGUUCGGAAUUACUGGGCGUAAAGGGCGCGUAGGCGGCCAGACAAAGUCGAGCGUUAAAUUCCAGGGCUUAACCCUGGGCUGUUGCUCGAUACUAGUCGGCUAGAGUGUGGAAGGGGGUGCUGGAAUUCCCGGUGUAGCGGUGAAAUGCGUAGAUAUCGAGAGGAACACCUGCGGCGAAGGCGGGUUGCUGGGCUGACACUGACGCUGAGGCGCGAAAGCCAGGGGAGCGAACGGG
rnacentral:rRNA from 1 species